rnacentral:rRNA from 1 species
UAAUACCAGCUCCCCGAGUGGUGGGGACGAUUAUUGGGCUUAAAGCGUCCGUAGCCGGCUUGGCAAGUCUUCCGUUAAAUCCAGCGACCUAAUCGCUGGGCCGCGGGAGAUACUGUCAGGCUAGGAGGCGGGAGAGGCCGGCGGUAUUCUCGGGGUAGGAGUGAAAUCCUAUAAUCCCGGGAGGACUACCGGUGGCGAAGGCGGCCGGCCAGAACGCGCUCGACGGUGAUGGACGAAAGCUGGGGGAGCGAACCGGAUUAGAUACCCGGGUAGUCCCAGCCGUAAACGAUGCGGGCUAGGUGUUGAGGCGGCUACGAGCCGCUUCAGUGCCGCAGGGAAACCGUUAAGCCCGCCGCCUGGGAAGUACGGUCGCAAGACUG